rnacentral:tRNA from 1 species
GCCGGUAUAGCUCAGUCGGUAGAGCAACUGACUUGUAAUCAGUAGGUCCCGAGUUCGAUUCUUGGUGCCGGCA